rnacentral:rRNA from 1 species
GCCCGUCCCNCCCAUGGGAGUGGGUUGCAAAAGAAGUAGGUAGCUUAACCUUCGGGAGGGCGCUUACCACUUUGUGAUUCAUGACUGGGGUGAAGUCGUAACAAGGUAACCGUAGGGGAACCUGCGGUUGGAUCACCUCCUU